rnacentral:rRNA from 1 species
CGCGGCCUAUCAGCUUGUUGGUGGGGUAAUGGCCUACCAAGGCGAGGACGGGUAGCCGGCCUGAGAGGGCGACCGGCCACACUGGGACUGAGACACGGCCCAGACUCCUACGGGAGGCAGCAGUGGGGAAUAUUGCACAAUGGGCGGAAGCCUGAUGCAGCGACGCCGCGUGAGGGAUGACGGCCUUCGGGUUGUAAACCUCUUUCAGCAGGGACGAAGCACAAGUGACGGUACCUGCAGAAGAAGCGCCGGCCAACUACGUGCCAGCAGCCGCGGUAAGACGUAGGGCGCGAGCGUUGUCCGGAUUUAUUGGGCGUAAAGAGCUCGUAGGCGGCUUGUCGCGUCGAAUGUGAAAUCUCGGGGCUCAACUCCGAGCUUGCAUUCGAUACGGGCAGGCUAGAGUUCGGUAGGGGAGACUGGAAUUCCUGGUGUAGCGGUGAAAUGCGCAGAUAUCAGGAGGAACACCGGUGGCGAAGGCGGGUCUCUGGACCGAUACUGACGCUGAGGAGCGAAAGCGUGGGGAGCGAACAGGAUUAGAUACCCUGGUAGUCCACGCCGUAAACGGUGGGAACUAGGUGUUGGCGACAUUCCACGUCGUCGGUGCCGCAGCUAACGCAUUAAGUUCCCCGCCUGGGGAGUACGG